rnacentral:rRNA from 1 species
GAGUUAGGAAAUGUAGGUGCGAUAAUACCGUGCCUAUUUGACAAAGGCUCCAAAGGAAGCCACGGCUAACUCUGUGCCAGCAGCCGCGGUAAUACAGAGGUGGCAAGCGUUGUUCGGAAUUAUUGGGCGUAAAGAGCACGUAGGUGGAUUUGUUAGUCAGAUGUGAAAGCCUUUCGUUCAACGGAAGAAUUGCAUCUGAAACUACAAACCUUGAGUAUAGGAGGGGAGAGUGGAACUUCUGGU